rnacentral:lncRNA from 1 species
CUUCUUCUCUCAUGCAUAUAGAGUAGUCACCAACUAUUACUUUUUUUUCCUUACUGUUCUAACACCUUAACUCUAGGACUUAGACUCUCUUACACAAGCCACACUACAUUGAUCAUUACAUUUAACUACUCUUACUAUUGUUGCUUACUUGCUUAAACUAUAACAACUCUUAUAGCUUCUACUUGCUUCUUUUGCAGGUUUCUUAACAAGACAUUAUUCUCCUGGGCCUAGUAAAACGCAGUCCAUUAUUUCUUCAUAGGCCCGUUGUAGACAGUAAGCCCAUCUCCUCCAUUGGUUGACUUUUGCCUCUUGACCUCUUCUUCUCUUUCUUCUUCACGACACUCUUCUCCUUCUCGACCUCUUCUAGUUUCUCAUUGAGUUUGAUUCUUGGUUUCUCUUUUCUUUUCAGACCCAAUCAAAGGAUCACUGCUCAACAAAAAGAGAUAGGAUAAAAAGAUUGGAAUGAUCAAAUGAUUUUUUUUAUUAAAAAAAAUGUACAACAAAAAUAUGGAAACAGAGUGGCAAACAUAACAAUGAGAUGUAAUUUAAGAAAAAAAUAGGAAAUGAGGUCUGACCCCAAAAAAUGAAUGAACACACUAGAAAGUAGAAUGUGGAAAAUUAGACAAUAGUGUGUAAUGUAUAUAAUUAUUUGUUGUAUAUUAUGAAUAUGUUUCUAAAUAUAUCAAGAUAAUAUAAUACAUAUUAAUUAACUUAA